rnacentral:tRNA from 1 species
GGGCUUCCGCGGAAGACCGACUCAGAGUGCACGGCAGGGAUCGGCGCGGAUCCCUCGAGGCGAGGUUCAAAUCCCUCCGUCUCCGCCA